CAUGAAGCUGGAAUUGCUAGUAAUCGCGGAUCAGCAUGCCGCGGUGAAUACGUUCCCGGGCCUUGUACACACCGCCCGUCACACCAUGAGAGUCGGGAACACCCGAAGUCCGUAGUCUAACCGCAAGGAGGGCGCGGCCGAAGGUGGGUCCGGUAAUUGGGGUGAAGUCGUAACAAGGUAAC
rnacentral:rRNA from 1 species